AGAGUUUGAUCAUGGCUCAGGACGAACGCUGGCGGCGUGCUUUAUACAUGCAAGUCAAGGAGAACGUUUUCUUCGGAAAACUAUUAAACUGGCGAACGGGUGAGUAACGCGUAGGCAACCUGCCCUAGAGAUUGGGAUAACAUCGGGAAACCGGUGCUAAUACCGAAUAAUGCAGCGGAUCCUUCGGGAUACAGUUGUUAAAGCGGGCUUCGGCUCGCACUUUAGGAUGGGCCUGCGUCCGAUUAGCUUGUUGGUAAGGUAACGGCUUACCAAGGCAAUGAUCGGUAGCUGGUCUGAGAGGAUGAUCAGCCACACUGGGAUUGAGAUACGGCCCAGACUCCUACGGGAGGCAGCAGUAGGGAAUUUUGCGCAAUGGGGGAAACCCUGACGCAGCAACGCCGCGUGACCGAUGAAGCUUCUAGGAGCGUAAAGGUCUGUCGUAAGGGAAGAAAAGUUUGGAUGUAAAUAAUGUUCAAACCUGACGGUACCUUACAAGAAAGCACCGGCUAACUUCGUGCCAGCAGCCGCGGUAAUACGAGGGGUGCAAGCGUUGUCCGGAAUCACUGGGCGUAAAGGGUCCGUAGGCGUCUCAAAAAGUCAUUUGUUAAAUACACCGGCUUAACCGGUGACCUGCAUUUGAAACUAUUGAGAUAGAGUAUAGGAGAGGAAAGUGGAAUUCCUGGUGUAGCGGUGACAUGCGUAGAUAUCAGAGGAACACCAAUGGCGAAGCAGCUUUCUGGCCUAUUACUGACGCUGAGGGACGAAAGCGUGGGGAGCGAACAGGAUUAGAUACCCUGGUAGUCCACGCCGUAACGAUGAGUACUUGGUGUCGGGGAUUC
rnacentral:rRNA from 1 species